rnacentral:lncRNA from 1 species
GAUGUUUUUACACGACCAGUUUCUUUAAUUUUAUUCUCUUUUGUUAUUUCUUUAGUGGUUUUCCACGCAUGUCUCCCCUCCAUCUACUUUUGUUGGCUACGCGGUUGGAGGUGGUAAUGCACCUUCUGCUGUCGUCUCCUUUUCCACUACGUGCGAUGGAAUAUGGUGAGAUUUUUAUCUUCUCUUUGUCUUCGAUCCUUCUUAACUUUGAUUGUUUUGUUUUUUGUAGUUAUUGUUGAUACUCAUUUCGCUCGCGUUCUCACUCAUUCCUUUUUUCUGUUGACGUGCUCGUUGAUGCUCCUCUAUCCGCUUCAAUGGCACACACGUCUGCUAUUGUUCUUCCGGUGACGUCUGCAUCUAUUGCAACUCCUCCGAUGGAAAACUUUUUCAGUCCUAUUUCUUUACUGCAUCUAUUUCUUUUUCCGUAGGAGAAAUGAUAUAUCCACUUCUAGUAUGUGUCAAGCUUCGUAUGCUGUCGCACAAGGUAUCACCAAGGGUUGAAUCUCAGGCGAGAUUAUGGCUUUAAUCCAAGAAAACAUAAUCCCAUCGUUCAUCACGUGCUUCUCAUAUUCUGGAUUCUCGGUGCCAUCUUCAAGUUUUGGGGCAGGAGUCACCAACAUACCUGAGAUAUACGAAAGAAAUUUGUGAAUCUGGAGUGCUCCCUCGAACUGGUUUUUCCAGAGGAGAUAAUUGCCCUCAGUCAACGGAUUAGGGCACAGAGAAACAAUCGUAUACAUCAUCUGUGGAGCCGUUGGAGUCGGACGGAGUACCCUCUGUUGUUGCCAUUUUCAAUUUUUGUGAUUUUCUGCCCAAAUCUGCAACAACUCGUACAUCAAAAAUAAAAUUGAUCACCAAACAGAAUCAGAUCUCACAACCUUUUGAAUCAUUUUGGAAUAAUCUCCCCAAACAGAAGAGAAAAAAAUCAGAAUCACUCUCCCCAAACAGAAAAAAGAAAUCGGACAAGCUAAUCAAUCUGGAAAGAAGAAAAGAGGAUCAAUUUGGACAGAUCGCCUCCUCAAAUCAGGUCGCACAACGCCGUUGCUUGAUUACAUAAAUAAAUCAUUCCCAAAAAACCAAAUCGCGUUUCCCAGUAGUAUCAAUCGGAAGCUUUAGAUACCAUGUAAAGAACUGAUGGUUUAGGUAAUUGGGUUUAAUGAAGUUUAAAUAGAAGAUUCAUUAAGAAGAAUUGUAAUUGAAUCAUAAUCACCAAGGCGAUCAAAACAGAAUAAAAAGAAUAAGAUAGUGAUAACUAAAUCUGGUAUCAUACAAAGAAUGAGAGAAGAGGAUGAAGAUCAGAAGGAGUUUAGAAGAAGUGUUAGCAGGAAAAAAAAAGUGUAUUACAAUGUCUCAUUACUUGUAUUUAAAUAAUACAUACUAAUCUAAGUACCCACUCAACACUAUUUUAUUACCCGAUUGCUAUUAAGGGAUUAAUUAUAUUUUUGUCCUUACAUAUUUUACCUUGACACCUGUGGGAUUCAUUCUGUGAUGUUAUAUUGGAUUGGGAGUGAUAUAAAAUGGUAUUUGUGAUACCAACAUGUGAGAAGUUCCUUAUGGUUUCGAAACCACAACCAAUAUUGGUGUAACACAGGAUCGGAGAUGGGAAGCGCUUG